AUGGAAAUUUUGUAUCUUCAUUUCGCCAUCCAAAUUUUCACUAUUUUUUUCCAUGUCAAGAAAUUUCGUUUUUAUUUGGCCACGGCAAAUUUACUUGCACAUACAUGGCAAAUUUUCACCUUCAUACCCAUGCAACUGUCUUCACUCUUUUUGCCAUGUCAUAUUUUUUCCUUUUUUUUGCCAUGGCAAAAUUUAUCUUUCAUUUGCCAUGGAAAAAUAAAGGAUAAUUCAUGGAGCAUGGAAAAUAAAACUUUCUACUUUGCAUGUCAACUUUUACUUUAUUUUCGCCAUGGCAGUUUUUUAGCUUCAUUUGCCAUGGCAAUUUUACCUUUAGAUAGUUGGUAA
rnacentral:rRNA from 1 species